rnacentral:rRNA from 1 species
UACGUAGGGGGCAAGCGUUGUCCGGAUUUAUUGGGCGUAAAGAGCGUGUAGGCGGUUUGGUAGGUCCGCUGUGAAAACUCGAGGCUCAACCUCGAGACGCCGGUGGAAACCAUCAGACUAGAGUCCGGAAGAGGAGAGUGGAAUUCCUGGUGUAGCGGUGAAAUGCGCAGAUAUCAGGAAGAACACCCGUGGCUAAGGCGGCUCUCUGGGCCAUUACUGACGCUGAGGAGCGAAAGCGUGGGGAGCGAACAGG